rnacentral:rRNA from 1 species
GUGAGGAAUUUUCCGCAAUGGGCGAAAGCCUGACGGAGCAAUGCCGCGUGAAGGAUGAAGGCCUAUGGGUUGUAAACUUCUUUUCUCAGAAAAGAAUUAUGACGGUAUCUGAGGAAUAAGCAUCGGCUAACUCUGUGCCAGCAGCCGCGGUAAGACAGAGGAUGCAAGCGUUAUCCGAAAUGAUUGGGCGUAAAGCGUCUGUAGGUUGUUUAAAAAGUAUUCUGUCAAAGAUUAGGGCUUAACCCUAGAUAGGCAGAAUAAACUUUUAAGCUAGAGUUUGGUAGAGGCAGAGGGAAUUCCCGGUGGAGCGGUGAAAUGCGUAGAUAUCGGGAGGAACACCAAAGGCGAAGGCACUCUGCUGGGCCAAUACUAACACUGAGAGACGAAAGCGAGGGGAGCAAAUGGGAUUAGAAACCCGAGUAGUCC